UAGCAGGAAACAUGGAAGGAAGGGCCAGAGGCAGGGGUGGCCUUGGGUGAUGGGACUCGUAAGCCAAGCACACGGCUGCUGGAGGUAAUGAGGCAAGGAUGGCUUGGGGUUGUGUCAGAAAGCAUGAGUUUCAUGUGAAGAGCAUCUGGGACUCGGAUCCUGAUGAGGCUGGCAUCCGGUGAACAGGUACUUAAUAAAUAUCACUCUUUUCUUUUAGCUAAUGAGAAAGGUGGGAGGGGCUUUCUGUUUUCUCACACAUGCCAGGGCCUUUGCUGCGAUGAAGAGGUAGGUGAGGCACAUCUGCUGUGCCCCUGGCCAUUCCUCAUCUUUCAGGCCCACCUCUGAUUCUAUGGGGAGCUCAGGCCAGGGGUGACCCUUCCUGAGCACUGUUUUGCCAAUGUAGCUGCAGAUACCUCCGCAGCUGUUCAUGGAGUUGCAAAGAGCAGCUGGGAAGUUCCUUUCUGGGAGGUGGCCAGCUGAGUCCUGGGGAGGAGCAGGUAGCAUAAGUCCUAUAUACAUGGGGAUGCUGCAAGUGGGUUCACAUCCAGGGAACCACUUCCCUUGCCUGAGAGGCUCAGAUGCAGCUCAUACACCAGUGUAACUGGUGGGGAAGCAAAUGACGCUGGACAGUGAGAGACAGCAAGGGAUAGGACUGUAAUCCCAUCACAUAGCUGCUCCCGGGUGGUUGCUGGGAAGACCUUUCAGGCCAGUGCUGUAAACCAGAAAAUGAAGCUCUGAGCCCUUAUUGUGAAUAACUUGAGCAGCGAGGUCUGACUGGCAAAAUGUUGUUUGUCACCAAAUGAGGCUGGAGAAAGCAGGUACUAACCACUAAAUAUCUCUCUUGCCAUUUAGAAAACCCUUCGGUUCUAGCAUUUGGGGAUGCAGCAAUAACUCAAUUUAUUAUCAAGAAGGGGGGGGGGAAAGGAAAAAAAGCAAAAAAUGCUUCUUGCCCUUUUGUUCUUUGCAAUAGAUGGGUGAGAACAGGAUGUUCCCAGCAGUAACUUAAUUAUUUCACUACUGCACAUCUCUCUUACAGUGCAGGUUAAGAAUGUAGGUUGAAUUUUCUUUUAAUUGUCCCAGCUAUCACGUACCUGAGAAAAUCCAUUUUUGUCAACUGUCUAGUCCCUGUUAUUGGUCUCAGAAAGCAGCUUAUUGCUGUAGAAACACUCAGUGCACUUCUGCUUCAGAAAGGUGCUCUCCUGGGAGGAGAGCGAGGGGUGCAAAUAUUUUGCCUGUAAUUACUGUAUGCAGCAUACUCUGUGUGAAAGGGUUGUGUUUUGCAGUGCUCAUCUCAUUGGCAGCACAGGAGGGUUCAGGCUUCGGUUUCGUUUUCCUUGUCCAUUUCCAUGUGGAAUUUAAACCCGGAUAUUUACUUUGUGCAGGAUCAUUCCUUUGAAUCCAAAAGACAGCCACAAAGGGAAGAUAGUCUUGGCGUUGAGAAAAAGAAAUGAAAUCCCCAAAAGUCCUGGCAACAGGUCUGUAAUGCUCUCCUGGGCUGGAUUCUCAUUGCAGCAGAGCUUUGUGCUGAAGAUGCAGCCAAGGAAAAGCCUCGUGAGAUGCCAUGUACUAAGAAAGCACAAAGUCAUACAAACUGGGUGAGAAAAUGGUAAUUUUAAGAAGAAAAAGAUGUCACAAAAUCUAUAGUAUGCAAUGACCUCCAGCAAUGUGUUACCGUGUGGUUACCAUACUUCUGUGGCCCUGUCCCUCUCAAAGAUCAGAGCAACCAUCAGCCUUAGUCUGCGUCGGUGACCUAUAAACCCAGGCCUGUUUGUGGAAACCUGUCUCAGAUGAAGAACCCAAGGCAGAGGAGCUGGAGGUGUGUGUUCCCAUUCAGUGGGUGAGUCACCAGCAGAGCCGAGGGCAGUGCUCAGUGCUGGGGUUUUGCUCUGCAGCUGUUCACGGCACUGAUUUGACCCGAAGGCAGCAGUUUUUGCCCAGAUCAGUUUCUAAGGUAUUUUGCGUGUUGUUUUUUGUAAAUAAGCAGGACCUACAGCCACAUCUCAUUGCUGACUGUUGUGCAGCCACCUCAGGUUGGAGCUUCCGGCAGGUUCAGUAUCCAAAGGGUGUCAGGAGUGCUGACACCCCUGUCACUUGGCGUCCGAGAUGCUAUAUUUUUGCUUUUAAGUGUAAAAACUUAGCUGCCAGUUUUGAAUAUGCUGAGGAGCUUGAGAGAGUAGCUUAUCUUUCUCCUAAAAUGCACUGGCAUGGGAGAUUUUUGAUGAAUCCACCAAGAGAGUGCAUGAUGAGGCUGGUGCUUGCAAAGCUGCGCUGUCAGCAGCAGACAUGGCCUUGGUUUGGGACACUGUUCUGCCGUCCCUGUGCUGCUGGGCAUUUGCGUGUUCAUUAGCUGCAAACGAGCAUACCAGCCACUUACACAGCUCUUGAGUGGGGUAGAUCUGGAGGUGCUCAGUGGGACUGACGCAUGUCUCCCUUGCACUCCUCGCUGCUGGGCUGGGGCUGUGAGCUCUGUGCUCCCCACGAGGUUUGGUGCCAAUGGGGCAACCGCAAAAGGUGGCUCUGUGUGGAGAUGGUGGCGUGGGUGCUAUCCCAGCGCCUGUGGCACUCCAUGCUAGAGGGUCCUGGCAGGGACAGUCCCCUGCAAGCUGGGAGCGAAGGCCAGGCCUGGGUGGCAGAGGCAGGUUGGGGUGUCCUGCCGAGCAGCAGGCAGCAGAUGGCAAUGUUGCCCUGCAAGAACUGCAGGCAAGGAGGCAGGCAGGGAUGCAGGUAGGUGUUUGCUGCGCUGACAGCUUAGAGACAGGGGUCAAAGUGACCCCCUUGGCAGUGGGUUCAGCUUCUUUUGCAGAAGCCAGAGAAUUUCAAACAGCAUUGGGUGGCUGGUAGAGAUGCUCCUUAGCCCUGGGCCAUCUUGGCUCCCUGUGGCCGCCCAGGCAGGAGAGGCAAGGCAGGGGGUGGGCAGGGGCACCCCUUUCUGCUUGCUGCCCUCCCAUUCUGCCUGGCAGAGGCUGCUGUGGUGACAGUCAGAGUAGCCCCAAGAUGUAAAAUAGCCCAGGCUGGCUCUUGCCAGGCCUUGGGGGGGUAUGAUUUUGACAGUUGGGGAAACUGAGGCAGGGAGUGUGCCAUGAACAGGUACAGGAGACACUAUGGACCUGGUCGGCUGUUGUUUUUAGCAGUGGGGUGAAGCUGCUCCCACAGCUGAGCCUGGUAAAGGCUUGGUGUGGCCGGGACACAAGUUUCAGCGAGGUGUUAUGCCUCCUCUCCCUGACUCAGCCUGGUGCCAGCAGGUGUCUUCUGGGCACGGGAGGCAGGGUGUCUCAGAUGGCUGCAUCUCCUCCUCAUGCUCAGGGACCACUCCUGUGCCCACAGAGCCCCAGCGGGAUGGAAAGGCAGGCUGCUCCCUGCAGCUGUUGCUGCCUGGCUUGGCCACAUCCUGGGGCCACAGGACUGUCCCAGAGCUGUACCUCAGGGACUUUGCACGGCUGUGCACUCUCUAUCUGAUGGGAGAAGAGCCAGUGUUGAAAGCGUUUUCUUCUCCUUUUCUCUGAGCAGCUCAAUCCCAUUCUUUAUCAGGCAGGGCUGCUGAGCUCAGGGAAAUGGGAGCUGUUUGCCUGCUCAGGGUAGGCUCCUGAGGAGUAGCUGUGGGUUUUGCUGACUUCCCCGGGGCUAACAACAUGCUGGUGACUGCAUCAAUGGUACAGAAAACAAGGCUGGCAUUGGCCCGGGCGGCAGGUGGGAGCUCCUGUGUUCUGCCACUACAAAUAACAUCAGCAGCCAAGGCACCUCAUUGUCAGCCUGUGAAGGAGAAGCCAGAAGGUACUAAGAAAUUUAAGCUGUCAGAAAGUGUUCUGUGGGUCCCCUUGCCCCCCCCCCCCCCCCCCCAUUGCCCAGCUCCAGCACAUGUCAUCCUGUAUUGGGACCAAGCUAUUCCCCAGGGAGUGAGGCACUGAACCGCACUUAGCAGGGCCAUCCUCCACUCCCUGGGCAGGAACACUUUGAAUUGGCACAGGGCCACACUGAUGCUAGAAAACCAGAUUAAUUUCUUCCAGCUGAGAACUCCUGAUUCAGCAUUUCCCCUGCCAGUACUUUACACUGGGUGUGAGAUAACAAGAAGAUACUGUGCGCGCAGGGGUGGCAGCUGUCCCAGCUGGGUAUCUCCUGAUUAGGUGCAAUACAGUGAUACUGGGUGUGCGCUCUCAGCAUGCCGGGGAUGGAGUUUGACAAAAGGGUAUGCGCGUCAUGGAAUCAGGGAUGGGUCCUCCUGGUGCCCCUGUCAGUAACCCUCAGCUGUAUCCCUGGCUCAAUGCUAAAGGAUGUGAGUACCUUAGAAGGGGCUGUUUUUGGGAUGCUCCUUAAAAAAAUUAAGGCUUUAUGCCCAAAGGCAUCAGGUCUGUGUGGCCUGAGCCUAAUUUCGUCCUCUCAGGAGAAUUUGUAUGUCUCUGUUUUAUUUUUACAUUUACCUAAAGCAUGGCAUUGUUCUCAUCUGUUAGACAGCGGCCAGGCUCCACUGCAGCAGUGACUGCGUUUGGGGGAAGGAGGAGUGUCCUAGGCUGAUGCAUCCAUGAAACACCACAAACAGUGCUCAUGAGAGAGCAAUCAGACUGAAUGAGAGGACCUGAUAGAGGCACUGACGUUUUCAAGCUGGACUCUGUGUCGAUGCUGUGUGUGAUUUCAUGUGCUCCUCCCCUCUGAAAUUAUGCUUUGGUUUGCAGGAGAGACUUGUCACAUUAGCCCUUAGCUGAGGCACUUGCCUCAGCUGGAGGAGAAACAAAGAGACUGAGGCACAGUGUGAAGGCGCAGAGGUCUUCUCUGUGCAAGAGAAUGGAAGGCUUCUGUAGCAAGUGCAGUAACUCACUGAGGUGCUGGUAUGGGCAAUGUCUCUGCUUCACACCUGAUCUGUGCGGUUCCUCGUAAGGCUCUGCUGCCCCCUGAGUCAGUUUGGAUCAAUCUUCCCCAUGUGGCUGCUUCCCUCCACUAUUUCAAGGUAAAGCAUCACAUUUCUCUUGGGAAAGGGAGCCUUUGGUCAAGGGGAAAGGAAAUCUUAUCUUGUCCCUUAUGCUGGCUCCUUGUCCCUUAAUGCUCUGCCUGUCUUGCCAGGUGGUCUCGCUCCCCAUUGCAUGGGGAAAGAGAGCAUUGCUCAAGCCUAAUGGGUGAGACUGCAGAGGGUAGUGAAGAUGCCAUGUUUUCUUUGGAUAGUUAUAACUAGCAGGUGUGAAGUUGGCUGAUGGAACCACCUGAGCUUUCUUCUACCAGCUCAGCUUCUCAAACAGCUGCUCCAAGAGCUGUGAUUAAUGUCAAUUUAUCUACUGGAAAGAAAGGUCCUGUCUGUGCCUUGUCUGUGAAGAGUUGGUAGGGAGGCUCAAGACUUGGCUGCCUGUUCAGAGGUUUGCAAAGCUGCUGAGCCCUGCAUACUGCUCCUUCCUGCAUCUCCCUUGGUGGCCGGAUCAACAGGGGGCACUGCAUGUCUGUGCUUGAUCUUCCUAGGAAGGGAGGGAGGGUCCUCUUCACCCCUCCAGCUCCAGGGUCAGAGGAGGCAUGGAUCAGCACCGUUUGCUCUCUGACCACCAGGCCUCUCCCCCAGCUCCCUGCCAAAGAGCCCUGGGCUGUGAGGCUGCCUCCUCAAUGGAAUGAUCAAGGCUGAUAAGAAAACCUGGAGGUACUCUGUGAAAUGACAGACAAAUUUAGAUCAAACAGCAGGAAAUCCGCUCUCCGGCAGUGCAGAAGAGCUGUGUGGUGGAAAGCUCUGGUCCGGCAGAAGGUCAUCCAAGAAAAACAGGGAGCUGCCGUCUGGGGUGGGCUGGCCAACUGGCAGGAUGGGCGAGAGCUGGUGAUCUGGGCAGGCAAAGCUGUAAAAGCAGUUUGGCUUUCUGCUCUGCUACGGUCACCACAGGUGGUCAGGGAUGAGCUCCCACUCUGCCCACAGUGUGCAGGAUGGUACCAUGCAGGGAGCAGAAGGAGCCUUUUCCAACAUAGCCAGAGGCAGUUUGGUGGAUUAUUUUUUUCAUGAGAACAUUAUAUUUUUCAACCUGAGUGGCAUUAGCAUGGUCGCAGCCAGAUCAUGUUCUCCUUGGUGAGGUGAGCUGGGGGGCCAGUGUUCGGAGACAGGCUUUGAGCUCUUCCAAAGAGAACAAAGAAGAUAGAGAGACAAAUGUCCCAAAGGGCACAUUUCCAUGAUGCCCAUGGAAGUAUCUGCUUGCUGGAGUGAACAGGGAGUCAGAUGCUACUUCUUGCAUUGCUGUAGCACUUCAGGUUUUGAUGCAGUAGUGUCUUCUCUUCAAUGGAGGUCUCUUUGGCUGAAGAGGCAGCAGUAAAGAACAAAGGCUCAUGGGCUUUCUUGGACAGCAUGUCCUGCUUUCUUUCAUAGGGCAGGAAGGGAGAGUGAUUGAAUUGUGGAGAGUUUCCUCUCCAGCUUCUUCACUGGCUGAAAUCUGGGCUUGUCUAAGAGCUCUCACCCUUGGAUAGUGAUUUGGCAGCACUUGGAUGACCACCCCAUAAAUGCCACCUGUCUGGCUGGUUUCUGCAGGGUAGAAGUUGGAGCUGAAACAGUAGUGAACAUCAACAGGAGAGUAGGUUUGUGCAUCUCUGGGCAAUACCUGUGGUUCAAGCAAGCCAAAGGCUUCACUCAAAUGUAAGAUGAUGUAUUUCUAGCCAGUAGAGGUGAUUGCUCCCUGGGAACCUGUCUUGGAGUUCAUUUGUUCACUGAAACCUUUAUCAAGAGAGUGAAGGUGAUUUUCCAGAAUUGUCGAUGUCCUCGGGAGAUAGCUUGCAUGGGGGCUUUCCAAGACUCUGCAACCUCAGCUAUUGCCCUUUGACAGCAGCAAAGAUUAAGAUGCGUGAACCUCCUGCUCAAAGAAGCUCCCUCCUCCUCUUUCACCACCUCCUUGAGAUUAUCUGCUGCUUCAUGGCCUGAGGCUCUGUCCCUGGAAAAAGCAACUGGGGUUUCACACACAGUUCUAAUCACCCAUGAAAGUACCCUCUGACUUGUUUCUCCUCACCCACUUGGAGCAAGGGCUUGUGUGGAGGUGUCUGAGCUCUACACAAGUGUGAGAAAGUGUUGGGGUGGAGCUGGCUGAUCUGCUCUGACUCUGCGAGCAAGAGGGAUAGAUCUCAUCUUGUUUAGGCUACCUAAACAAGUAGCUGUUGCUCAGGAGAGACAAGAAAGCUGAGCUAAAACCAUGUUCUCUGGCACGAUAAUGCCUGAAACAGCAGUGUGUUUAUAUGGGACUUUUACAGGAGCCAGGAAAUGCCACCAGCCUAGCUGUGAAUGUCCUGGUAAACCUGCUGGAGCCUACAGCCACAAUGUCAGCUCACUCCCUCUGGCAAGCAUCAGACCCAAAAGGAAGAGAGGUCUGUAAGUGGAAGCAGCUGAGGAGCUCGAGGCUGCACAGACCUGACAUGAAAAGGGCCUGUGGCAGUGCCAGUCAGCAAACAUGGAAAGGGUGGUGAGCUCCAAUGAGCUCUGGACCAUGUCCAUCUUGCAGUCUCUCUACUCUUACCCUCCAUGGCCCCUUCUGAGAAGGGGACCUGGACUCACCAUUGGGAUGCAGUUUCAGAGGCUUUCCUCAGAUAAAGUUUUAGGAGGAGUCCUGGACUGUUGGGCUUAGAGUCCUUGGGCUGAUGAAUGCAGUUGAGACUGCUGCUCACCACAGGCAACCCAUUGGUAUGAGUGCUUCCAGAAACCAGUUGUGCUUUGUGUUGGGAACAGGUUGGGUUUGGGUUAUUUUCUGUUCACUGGUCUCCUUAGGAGACUGUUGGGGACCUUCACUCUCAGUUGUUAGGAAUCUUCUACAAAUUUCCAGCACAAAUGUAUCUGUGGCCAGCUUUUUCCUCAUUCAUUCUUGAGCCAGAGGACAGUGCUGGCACAAACAGCUCUUCUCCCUGCUUGUAGUUUUCAAUGUUGAUUUGAUGAUUCUAUGAUUCUAUGAAAUGGUCUUUAUUUGGCCUUGGGUUUCAGAGGGAUGUGUUUCAAAACCAUAAUUUUGCAAGAUCUUGACCCUCUGAUAACAAGAUUAGAAGAAAGAUAACAACAAAAUCAGCAUUCAGGCUGGAACCACUGUUGUUAAAUAGACAACACUGCAAAGCCAGUACUUUUUGUUUACAAUUGAACUCAUGAAUUUUCAGAUAUUAAUGUAUGAGGGAUUGAGUAAACAACCAUUGUGCCUCUAAGGAAUGAGUCCCAGGCUGUCCUGAGCUGGAAUAUUUUGUACUUUCCUGAUUGCCUUCCAAGAAUUUCAAAUUACUUUGUAACAGAAAAACAAGCCUGCUUCACAAGACAUUUGCGAGGUUCUUGGGAUGGCCUUAAUUCCUCUGUGCUGUGAUGUGGCUGGCUUUGGGGCAGAGUUCUGCAGCUGGGUACCAUGGGAUGCUGAGCACCUAGGUGUUCAGAGAGAGGCGGGGACUACACGAGAAGAGUAAACCACAGGGGUCAGGAGAGUCAGCCUGGAUGUGGUGCACAGGUCUGCAACCAGUGUGUAGCCCUGUCAGUCCCUGUUCCCAGUUUGAUGGGAACAGAGACAUUACAGACACUGGCCCAGAAAUCCUGUGACUGCCAUGGAGAAGGAGAGGUGAAGGGACUAGUGGCAAGUCACACAGCAGGUCAGGGUGACAGCCAACAAUAAAAGCACUCUGCUUGCCUAACCUGUGAGCCUUUCAGGAGCAGCUGUUAUGCUCUUGGGCAUGGGUCCGUGGAGUAGCCACCAAGGACAAGGUGGCAAAGGGAUGUGUGGGCAGGGCAUGUCCCCCCACUUUGCCCUGGAGAGACCAUGCCAUGCUCUCCAGGGAAGCUGCAGACCAUGUUCUAUGCUCACGCUCUUUCCAGGCUUAACAGGGUGUUUCUGAGCAUGGUGGCCUUGACACUGCAGGCUGGGGCACGCUUGCAAAUUGUCCCGUAUUUCUGGCUGUCCUUUGUUGAGCGAGUGCUCUUCAGGAGCAGCCAGGGUGUUGCCUAGAGUCCCUCCAACCAAAAAUACCACUUGUGACUGGAGGUGAGCCUGCUUAAUGUCCCUACAGCCCUGGGCUGCCCAAGUGCCAUUUGGCUAGUUUUUGAGCUAAGACCGAGACCCAGAAAUGGAGACAUCUUUCCGCUGGUUCUGGUGGCUGGGGAUUGCAGACAGGACAUGCAAUAAAGGCAGCUGAUGACCUGGCAGCCUUGAAGUGUCCCUCUCGGCCAGACCAGGUAGUCCUGUCUUGGGCAUAAUGGCCAGCACUUUGGUAAAGCAGGCAGGGUGGGUCCCUCACUACCUGGGUUGUUCUUGGGUUUGGUUUCCAAGCCAGCAGUCUGGAACUGUGGAAAGUCAUAAAUUCAGGUUACCGAACCAUCUGCUGGCUGCAUUUUAAAAAGCAAUUAAAGUAAAAUUGUUUCCAGCCCUUCUGUUUGCAAGAUGUAGUCUAAAGAGAGAUAACCAAGCCAGGAUUUGCCUGAUCCUGCCACAGCUCCAAGUGUGAGUUAAUUUGAUCUAAUCCCUAUGCUGUGCGUGCUGGAAAGUGAGGGGUUCCCUACUGAGGACUCACAGAGCAUGCAGGUAAACAGGGCUGCCACGCUGUUAGCACAGAGGUUUGUUUGAUGGUGAAACCCAGGAAACUGGUAUUUUGAUACUGUUUUUAAAUUGCUUUUAAUCAGAAAUUAUUAAACAGAGUAGAAGAAAAAUUUGGAAGUAAGAAUACUUUAGCAUGGUAGAGGAUGAUAGCGUGUUGCCAAAGACUGAUGGAUUGCAGGUCUAGGCAGUGUUGGAUGGAGCUGCUAAAGCAAUGGUCUGGGGAGCUUUUCCCAGGGUACCC